rfam:Tursiops truncatus cont1.244654, whole genome shotgun sequence.
GUUAAAGGGUCUUCCUUCCAGGUCUCUUCCCUGGGCAAGGCGUCGCGGAGCCCCAGAACUUCUUCUGGGCUGCGGCGCUCGCUGACUAAUGGCUGUUGGAUGCUGUUCUGGUCUUCAC